GCAUACAACCGGCGCACGGGUGAGUAACGCGUACACAACAUGCCAUAUACUGGAGUAUAGCUUUGGGAAACUGAAGGUAAUCCUCCAUAAUAUUUCGGAUAGGCAUCUAUUUGAAAUUAAAGUUUCGACGGUAUAUGAUUGGUGUGCGUUUGAUUAGCUAGUUGGUAGGGUAACGGCCUACCAAGGCUACGAUCAAUAGCUGGCGUGAGAGCGCGACCAGCCACACUGGAACUGAGACACGGUCCAGACUCCUACGGGAGGCAGCAGUAGGGAAUAUUGGACAAUGGGCGAAAGCCUGAUCCAGCCAUGCCGCGUGAUAGAUGAAGGCCCUCUGGGUUGUAAAUAUCUUUUAUCUGGGAAGAAACUCUCCUAUUCUUAGGAGCCUGACGGUACCAGAGGAAUAAGCACCGGCUAACUCCGUGCCAGCAGCCGCGGUAAUACGGAGGGUGCAAGCGUUAUCCGGAUUCACUGGGUUUAAAGGGUGCGUAGGCGGGUAUAUAAGUCAGUGGUGAAAGCUCCGAGCUUAACUUGGAAACUGCCAUUGAUACUGUAUAUCUUGAAUGUCGUAGAGGUUAGCGGAAUGUUGCAUGUAGCGGUGAAAUGCUUAGAUAUGUUACAGAACACCAAUUGCGAAGGCAGCUAACUAUGCGAUAAUUGACGCUGAGGCACGAAAGCGUGGGGAGCAAACAGGAUUAGAUACCCUGGUAGUCCACGCCCUAAACGAUGAUUACUCGAUGUUGGCGAUACACUGUCAGCGUCUUAGCGAAAGCGUUUAAGUAAUCCACCUGGGGGAGUACGCUCGCAAGAGUGAAAACUCAAAAGAAAUUGACGGGGGUCCGCACAAGCGGGU
rnacentral:rRNA from 1 species